UACAAGGAAGAGGCACUCCGAUACAACCUGUAUAUCACAUAAUGGAGGGCCUCAUUCACAUUGUGGUACAAUUGUUCAGGUAGUGGGACUCCUACACUCACAAGUCCUAUGCAGUAAGUGAACGGGCUUUCAAAAAUUACAACUGGACAUUUGUAUGCUGCGCUGGGACACGGAAGUGGAUGUGGUCGC